UUUCUACUCCCUCCGUUCGGAAUUACUUGUCGCGAAAAUGGAUGUAUCUAGACGUAUUUUAGUUCUAGAUACAUCCAUUUCCAAGACAAGUAAUUCCGAACGGAGGGAGUAGCUA
rnacentral:pre_miRNA from 1 species